CGUAGCCGCGGGAAUACGUAGGUGGCAAGCGUUGUCCGGAAUUAUUGGGCGUAAAGGGCUCGCAGGCGGUUUCUUAAGUCUGAUGUGAAAGCCCCCGGCUCAACCGGGGAGGGUCAUUGGAAACUGGGAAACUUGAGUGCAGAAGAGGAGAGUGGAAUUCCACGUGUAGCGGUGAAAUGCGUAGAGAUGUGGAGGAACACCAGUGGCGAAGGCGACUCUCUGGUCUGUAACUGACGCUGAGGAGCGAAAGCGUGGGGAGCGAACAGGAUUAGAUACCCCAGUAGUCCCUGUCUCUUAUACA
rnacentral:rRNA from 1 species